CCUACGGGUGGCAGCAGUGAGGAAUAUUGGUCAAUGGGCGGAAGCCUGAACCAGCCAAGUCGCGUGCAGGAUGACGGCCCUACGGGUUGUAAACUGCUUUUAUACGGGAAUAACGCGCCUUACGUGUAGGGCUUUGCAUGUACAGUAUGAAUAAGGCCCGGCUAAUUCCGUGCAAGCAGCCGCGGUAAUACGGAAGGUCCGGGCGUUAUCCGGAUUUAUUGGGUUUAAAGGGAGCGUAAACGGCAUGGCAAGCGUGCGGUGAAAUGUCCGGGCGCAACCCGGGCCUUGCAGUGCAAACUGGCGAGCUUGAGUCCACGGGAGGCAGGCGGAAUUCGUGGUGUAGCGGUGAAAUGCUUAGAUAUGACGAAGAACCCCGAUUGCGAAGGCAGUUUGCUGCAGCGUAACUGACGCUGAUGCUCGAAAGCGCGGGUAGCGAACAGGAUUAGAUACCCGAGUAGUC
rnacentral:rRNA from 1 species